GCAUAAGGGGCAGCGGAAUUGGGCCCCCACCUCGUUGAUCUUUCAGGAGGUUGUUCUGAAAGUGGAAGAGUUCAGACAGACUUUGCAAGUAGCCAAGCAACUGAAACUGUUCCCGGUUUUGCUGCUGUUGGGGCCUGGUGGAAAAGGCGAAGACCCAGAGCCAGGCGUCUUACUGAGAUGCUGAGAAAUGGAACCUCUGAGGCUUAAGCAACCUGGCCAGGGCUGCUCCCUCCUUUGGACCCAGCUGUGUCCACCUGGGCUGCUGCACAGAGAGACGUUUACAGACAUAAGUGGAAGAGUGAGAUUUUCAUCUUCAAGCAUUUGCUAUAAAAGAACACUUACAAAACUAAAAAAGUGAGCUUCUUACAAUUAAAGAGAAGGGAUGUUUGAAACAACGCACUGAAAACUAUUUGUUUAACUUCAAGCUUGACCUUGUUUGACAUCAAGUUGUAUCCUCUUAUCUGCCUCAUGGUGAGAAUUUUUCAUCAGUGCCUGCAAAAUAUUUUGACUACAGUGAAAGCUGAUCUAUCUUGUUUUGCUCAAAUGGAUUGAGAAACAAAAUCAUGUGAAAAUCCUGGGGUUAGAAAAGAAGUCCAGGGCCUCCCUGGUGGCGCAGUGGGCUGAGUGCAGUGCUGUGAAGCUGUGCGCAGCCUCUGCAGUGCGGUUUGAUUCCCGGCCAGCCAGGGAGCAACCCACAUGGCGAGGCAGACCUCUCCUGUCUCACCUGCUGCUCCCCUCAGCCAUACUUUUGGUCCGUCUGCCUGUUCUUCUCCCUGCUUGGUCUAUGGUGAAUCCUUUCACCCUCCCCUGCCUCUGACCUGUACCCCAGCUCUUGUAUAAAUACAUAAAUCUUUAAAAAAAAAAAAAGAAGCCCAAAUGGGUUAGGGUUUGUUUUUAAUUCAUGUAUUCUGUUGAUACAGGUCACUGCUUAUAAAUUGGAAAUGCUGCAUUUGAUUCCAAAAGGUAGUUUUAACAUGUGUGUGGAUUAUAGAUCUGUUCCUGAUUGUUUACAGUGUGUGUUGGAGUCUCAGUUCUAGGGAAAUUAAAAAACAGGGUUACUCCUGGCCUUAGGAGAAGGUGCGGUAUGUACAGGAAGACUUGUACGCCUUUUCAAACUGGGCCAGAGUGUAACAUGACCUCGUUGCUGUUGAUGGACUUGGUACCGCAAAGGAAUGAAUGUCUAGAGAUCAUCAUUGGGUCCUUUGAUAAAAAGAGUUGAUCUAGAAGAAAGAAAUCCCAGUCAACCUGAGGAAUCAGGUAAUCAGAGAAACCAGAGAAGAAAUGGGACUCUUAGCAGCUGGCAGACAAGGCAGAGUCCGCUGGGGGAAUAAAGCAACCAUUUUCCAGGUCAUCCAACAGGGAAAAGUAGAGAGUGACCUGGAACAACGGGGCCCAGCACUCUGUCCAUUAUAUAAUUCACUCUCUGUCACUUGGGGGAAGAGUUCCACAGUUUUAGGUUCCAUGUUCCUUCCUGCUGCUUGACUGCUAGCCAUUUUGCACUUGACA